AUGACCUCCCACGGGUGUUCACGGAAAAUGGUGCCACGCAUGCGCAAAACUUCCCGAGCCAGCAUCCACCACAUCAAACCCACUGAGUGAGCUCCCUUGUUGAUAGA